rnacentral:rRNA from 1 species
UAAGUAUACCGGAAGGUGUGCUUGGAACCGAAAUGUAGUAUAACUAAAACUACUUGCUUACACCAAGUCGAUGUCUGUGAGACUCAGAUCAUUUCGAGCCUAAAAUCUAGCCCCCCUUCCCCCGAUAUAACCCACACACCUUACACAACAAACUAAAACAUUCUCUCAACCUAGUAGAGGCGAUCGAAAAAUUUCUAGGAGCUAUAAAUUUAGUACCGCAAGGGAACGCUGAAAUAGAAAUGAAACAAAAUUAAAGCACAAAAAAGUAGAGACUCAACCUCGUACCUUUUGCAUCAUGGUCUAGCAAGUCUAAUCAAGCAAAAUGACUUAAAGUUUGACUUCCCGAAACCAAGCGAGCUACUUCAAGGCAGCUUUUAGAGCACACCCGUCUCUGUGGCAAAAGAGUGGGAUGACCUUCAAGUAGGGGUGACAGACCUAACGAGCUUGGUGAUAGCUGGUUGCUUAGAAAACGGAUCUUAGUCCACCCUUAAAUUUUUUUCAACUAUAACAAGUAAUACUUAAAUUUAAGAGCCAUUCAAAUAAGGUACAGCUUAUUUGAUCCAGGAAACAACCUCAACAACAGGGUAAUGACCUCAAAAGUGUGCUAAAGUAGGCUUAAAAGCAGCCACCUUUACCAACAGCGUCACAGCUUAAACACACUAAAACCCUAAUUUCUAAACCUCUACAGAACCCUCCACCUAUACUAAGCAAUUCUAUAACACUAUAGAAAAUCUUAUGCUAGAACUAGUAACAAGAAGAAGACCUUCUCUCAAAUACACGUGUACAUCAAAUUGGACAAACCACUGAUAAUUAGCGUACUUGAAACUAACGUAGCAACUAACCAAGAAAAACCUACUAACAAAAACGUUAACCUAACACAAGUGUAUUAAGAGAAAGAUUUAAAGAAAAGGAAGGAACUCGGCAAAUAUUAACCUCGCCUGUUUACCAAAAACAUCGCCUCUUGACACCUAUAAGAGGUCCAGCCUGCCCAGUGACUCAGUUCAACGGCCGCGGUAUCCUGACCGUGCGAAAGGUAGCGUAAUCACUUGUUCUUUAAAUAAGGACUAGUAUGAAUGGCACCACGAGGGUUAUACUGUCUCCCUUUUUUAAUCAGUGAAACUAAUCUCCCCGUGAAGAGGCGGGGAUUACCAUAUAAGACGAGAAGACCCCAUGGAGCUUUAAACGAACAGCAUAUGCUUACCCACAUCUCCUACACUAAGUCAAGCAUUUUGCCUGUUAGUUUUCGGUUGGGGCGACCACGGAGAAAAACAAAUCCUCCGCGUUGAAAGAACCACAGUUCUUAACUAAAAGCCACACCUUUAAGUAUCAACAACCUGACUACCCUUGACCCAAUAAUAUUGAUCAACGAACCUAGUUACCCUGGGGAUAACAGCGCAAUCCAUUUCAAGAGCUCCUAUCGACAAAUGGGUUUACGACCUCGAUGUUGGAUCAGGGUGUCCCAGUGGUGCAGCCGCUACUAAUGGUUCGUUUGUUCAACGAUUAAAACCCU